CACUACACAUUUCAGGUUAUAAAACGGAUCCCAAAACAUAUUAAUUCAUACCUUAUUCCAAAAAGAUGGGUUGUAAGAAAAUUUUGUUAGUUGUUUUGGAGGCUAUUUUUAUUGUUAUGCUUCUCCUUCCUUUUCAUCAAGUGGUGGCCUCAAGGGAACUUCUUGGGACGUCCCACUUUCUAGUUUCUGACAUGACAGUGAUGGAUACCACAGAGAUGAAAGAAUAUCAUUUAAAAACUGAUCCUUGGAAAGGCAACUACUUCGCUCCAGCUGCUCCUAUGAUUUGAUUCUCGUUCAUCUUUAUCCUAAAUAAAUAAUUCAGUUUGCCUUUUUUGAUUUUUUGGUUUUGGGUUGAAAAUUUUGUUUGCCAAUAGUCUACAUGCUUGCAUGAAAUUUUGACUUGCAAUAAAAGCUUUCCCACUGAGAAAAAAGGGACAUAUUAUUAUUGUAUUUUGUAGAAUAUGAUGGUUACUAUGAAAUAAAAUU